UGAGCGAGGAGUCGAUGGAGGAGGACACGUCGGAGCACCUGAAGUCGACGGACACGAGCGGCUCGUCGCAGACCUGCAGCACGCCCUUGAGCGGGCCGGCGGCGGCCUUGCGGAACGCCGCGUUAACGUCGUCGGCCGUCAUGCCCUUCUUCUCCGUGUUGAUCACCAGGUCCACCACGGACACGUUCGGGGUCGGCACGCGGAGCGCGAUGCCGUUCAGCUUGCCCUUCAGCUGGGGAAGCACCAGGGCAACGGCCUUGGCAGCGCCGGUGCUCGUCGGCACGAUGUUCAGGGCCGCCGCACGGGCCCUCCUCAGGUCGCGGUGGGACGCGUCCAGCAGCCGCUGGUCGCCGGUGUAUGAGUGUGUCGUCGUCAUGGUUCCCUUCACAAUCCCUGCACAUCAUCGCGAAAACAUUCGUCAGAUGAGUGUGUACAGUGUCUGACUCGUGGGGCGCACUUAUCAGACUGUGUGGUCAGGAACAGGAAAUAAGCAAAAAAGUUCUCACCGAACUCUUCGUCCAAGACCUUGACGAAUGGGGCGAGGCAGUUGGUCGUGCAGGAAGCAUUGCUGCAAGCAACAGAGUUUUGAUGCAGAUGAAUGUUAAGGAUGAUACAGGGUCCCCUGAAUGACAUAGCGUAUGUGCCGGCACCGGCAGGAAUCAGGAUGCAGAGCAGCGCUGAAGCGCACACUGAAGCUUGAUUACCUGAUAAUGUCGGCCACGCCGUGGUCGUAGUCGCCCUCGUUGACACCGACGACAUAGGUCGGGAUGUCGGCGCCCUUCGCCGGAGCAGUGAUGAUGACCUUCUUCGCGCCGGCCUGGAUGUGCUUCCCGGCGCCGGGGCCGUCGACGAACACUCCGGUACCCUUCACGACGCAGUUCCGCACCGU
rnacentral:lncRNA from 1 species